rnacentral:rRNA from 1 species
UACGUAGGGUGCGAGCGUUAAUCGGAAUUACUGGGCGUAAGCGUGCGCAGGCGGUCUGGUUAAGACCGAUGUGAAGUCCCCGGGCUUAACCCUGGGACUGCAUUGGUGACUGGCAGGCUUGAGUGUGGCAGAGGGAGGUAGAAUUCCACGUGUAGCAGUGAAUGCGUAGAGAUGUGGAGGAAUCCGAUGGCGAAGGCAGCCUCCUGGGCCAA